rnacentral:rRNA from 1 species
CAAUAGCGUAUAUUAAAGUUGUUGCAGUUAAAAGCUCGUAGUUGGAUUUGUGGCUGUCGCGAGCGGCGUGGCACUUAGUGUUAUUGCUUGCUUGCGUCGCCAUCCUUGGGUGGAUCCUGUGUGGCAUUAGGUUGUCGUGCAGGGGAUGCCCAUCGUUUACUGUGAAAAAUUAGAGUGUUCAAAGCAGGCUUAUGCCGUUGAAUAUAUUAGCAUGGAAUAAUAAGAUAGGACCUUGGUACUAUUUUGUUGGUUUGCGCACCAAGGUAAUGAUUAAUAGGGACAGUUGGGGGUAUUCGUAUUCCAUUGUCAGAGGUGAAAUUCUUGGAUUUUUGGAAGACGAACUACUGCGAAAGCAUUUACCAAAGGAUGUUUUCAUUAAUCAAGAACGAAAGUUAGGGGAUCGAAGACGAUUAGAUACCG